AUUAAACGCUGGCGGCAUGCCUUACACAUGCAAGUCGAACGGUAGCGCGGGGCAACCUGGCGACGAGUGGCGAACGGGUGAGUAAAGCAUCGGAACGUGCCCUGGAAUGGGGGAUAACGUAGCGAAAGUUACGCUAAUGCCGCAUAUUCUGUGAGCAGGAAAGCAGGGGAUCGCAAGACCUUGCGUUCUGGGAGCGGCCGAUGUCGGAUUAGCUAGUUGGUGGGGUAAAAGCCUACCAAGGCGACGAUCCGUAGCGGGUCUGAGAGGAUGAUCCGCCACACUGGGACUGAGACACGGCCCAGACUCCUACGGGAGGCAGCAGUGGGGAAUUUUGGACAAUGGGCGGAAGCCUGAUCCAGCCAUGCCGCGUGAGUGAAGAAGGGCCUUCGGGUUGGUUAAAGACGUCUUU
rnacentral:rRNA from 1 species